AGUGAACGCUGGCGGUAGGCCUAACACAUGCAAGUCGAACGGCAGCACAGUAAGAGCUUGCUCUUACGGGUGGCGAGUGGCGGACGGGAGAGGAAUACAUCGGAAUCUACUUUUUCGUGGGGGAUAACGUAGGGAAACUUACGCUAAUACCGCAUACGACCUACGGGUGAAAGCAGGGGAUCUUCGGACCUUGCGCGAUUGAAUGAGCCGAUGUCGGAUUAGCUAGUUGGCGGGGUAAAGGCCCACCAAGGUGACGAUCCGUAGCUGGUCUGAGAGGAUGAUCAGCCACACUGGAACUGAGACACGGUCCAGACUCCUACGGGAGGCAGCAGUGGGGAAUAUUGGACAAUGGGCGCAAGCCUGAUCCAGCCAUACCGCGUGGGUGAAGAAGGCCUUCGGGUUGUAAAGCCCUUUUGUUGGGAAAGAAAAGCAGCAGGUUAAUACCCCGCUGUUCUGACGGUACCCAAAGAAUAAGCACCGGCUAACUUCGUG
rnacentral:rRNA from 1 species